rnacentral:misc_RNA from 1 species
AUGGAGCUUCAUCCCAGGGGCUGAUGUUGAAAAGACAAGUGUCAAAGGCAACAUACUAAUAAUGCCACAUUGACAGAAUAAAAUAGAAGAUAUAAAUAAAAGAUAUGUUCUUAUCAAGAGAGGAAACAAGCUCUUAGAUGGCAAAAUCCUUAGUUAAAGCCAGCUUAUCAUAAUAGCAAUCAGAGAAUCAGAAACAUGAAUCAACGAUUAUGCAUACAGGCAGCUUCAUCAUGUUCAUCAGAAUUAAUGUGGAUGAAUGAUUUUAAUGAAAGAACUCAAGAAAUUCACCAUAAUCAAAGAAAUCCAACACCAAACAAAGAAAGAAAACAUGCUAAACCAUUAGAUUAAAAGACAGAUUAUCAGAAUUAAAAAGAUUUGCAUUUCAAACUAAUGAAAAGAAUUAAAAUAAUAGUGAUGAUGACUCAAAAGAAAGCUAGUGUACCAUUCUGGUGCAGUAGAAAAGAUGUCCUCAAGUUCUACAGGUCGCAGGUUAUUAUCCUGUUAAAACAACGUACUUGGAUAAAACAAAAAGAAAAUUAACAAUGCAGUUUAAGUAGUUACUACUCAUCAAAGAACAGAUAGAAAUGUACGUAAUCACUAUCGAACAACUCGUAGAUAACCUUCAAAAACUCGAUAGUUUCAU